rnacentral:rRNA from 1 species
GACAGAGGUGCCAAGCGUUAGGCGGAAUCACUGGGCUUAAAGCGUGUGUAGGCGGAUCGUUAAGUACCUUGUGAAAUCCCACGGCUCAACCGUGGAACUGCUCGGUAUACUGGCGAUCUUGAGCUGUCUAGGGGCUACCGGAACAAAUGGUGGAGCGGUGAAAUGCGUAGAUAUCAUUUGGAACGCCAAUGGUGAAAACAGGUAGCUGGGGUCAUGCUGACGCUGAGACACGAAAGCCAGGGGAGCAAACGGG